rnacentral:rRNA from 1 species
UACGGAGGGGGCUAGCGUUGUUCGGAAUUACUGGGCGUAAAGCGCACGUAGGCGGCUUUGUAAGUUAGAGGUGAAAGCCCGGGGCUCAACCCCGGAAUUGCCUUUAAGACUGCAUCGCUUGAACGUCGGAGAGGUGAGUGGAAUUCCGAGUGUAGAGGUGAAAUUCGUAGAUAUUCGGAAGAACACCAGUGGCGAAGGCGGCUCACUGGACGACUGUUGACGCUGAGGUGCGAAAGCGUGGGGAGCAAACAGGAUUAGAUACCCCCGUAGUCC